UAGGAUCAACACUGAUGUCAUUCAAGCAACAGCUAGAAGACCAACUCUGUCUCCGACUUAUUGAGUUGAAAUGCAUUUAUUUUUCCACUGUUAUGAAAAAAUGCAGAUUUUCCCCGAAGAAGCAUUUUUUUAAUUCAUCGCUUUUUCUUAAAGCCACGUGACAGAAAGCCAGGGCCCAGAUCCUAAGGAGAGGGACCAUCAUGGCACUGUCCAGAUCAGCUUCUUCCACAUGGGAGGGAAAAUGGCUGCUGACGGCUCCCAAGCCUCAAUCCCUUCACCCUUGCCACUGGCAAACUGCGGUUUAGGUUGCUGCCUUGGCAGUCCUGGCUGUCCUCACGGAAGAGCAUGUGAACCACGGACCUGGCUGUCUUUUUCAUUGGGUUGGCUCUGCGGUGCAGGCUGGCAGAUGAGCAUGUGAUGAGCCCGCCCUUGCUGGCCGUGCAAUUCGGCUCCUGUCAUGCUCUUGGCCAUUGAAUCGGCCUAAUGCAGCCCCUCAGCAGCCAGCCUGGUGUUCCCUGGGGCUGAGGAUCUAAUGUCAGCAGGGCAUGAUUCGAUUCACAUUAAAGAUGGAUAUUAAGUCUUUUUACUCGGGGUCUUGUCAAGAAAAACAAAUCUGCCUGCUAUCAAAGGCAUAGAAAAUGCC
rnacentral:lncRNA from 10 species